rnacentral:lncRNA from 1 species
AACAACUAAAAAUCAUGCAAACACAAAAACACCCACUCACAAUUACACUUUAGUUCAACAUUAUCCCAAGACUAAAUUACUUAGCUACUCACGAAGUGAGUAAAGAGACAUAUACCAUAAGGAUUAUCCAAAACAUUCAUUCGUCACAAAAUUACUAAGAAAUCAAGCCUCCAAGAGUAGUUACACACUUUCCCAAUUAGGGUUUCUUCCUUUCAAUUCAAAAAUAUCUACGAGGUAAGAAAUACCCAAAAAUGAGAAAGGGUUUUUGCCUAUAUAUGAUUUGGGAUUUGUCUAUGCAAUUUUACAAAACUGCCCUGGGUCAUAUUCGUGCAUUCGCGCUGACCCGCGAUCUCGCAGGUUUUACCGCGAUCAUAGCUAUGCAUCUGCAGUUGUUCUCCAUGAUCGCAUUAUGCUGACCACCUUGACUGACCGCCGCGGUUGCGGUAACUGAGGUUGAACUGCUCCAGGUCUCUAACUACACUCCUUUUUACUUCCAUUUGAUCCCUAUUUAGCUUCGAUCUACAUCUUUUCACCUUCUCAACUAUAUACCUACAAAAUGUGGUUAUUAGUGCAUUUAAAUCAUGAUGAUGUCUCAUUUUCUUACACAAGCAUGGUAGUGUGUACAAAAGUGGUGCAAAUGAGUGCUAUAUUCACCACUCAUCAACAUCAACACCCCCAACUUAAAACUUUUCUUGUCCUCAACCAACACCACCCUUUUCUAUGAGACAAUUUCAUAUGUAUGUCCUCAUUCAAUCACCCAAUGAUCAAGAUGACUUAAACUUGAUGGCUACUACAAAAAGCUAUUUGCACAUAGGAAAAAUGGUUUCAACAACACUCCUCAAUAAAAUGGAAUAUUUAAAAGAUGCUUUAGACUUUAAGGAACAACCAUGUAACGACCACUAAUACUCUAGAAACAACUCACUUGUUGACUACAACCAAGUUAUACCCCCUUUUUAUCUCAUUGUGCGGAGGAUGACAAAAUUACCCACCUUAACUUGUUCACAUGCCUUCUUA